AGUGAACGCUGGCGGCGUGCCCAAUACAUGCAAGUCGAACGGAGUGGCGCACGGGUGGGUAAUGUAUAGCUAAUCUGCCCUACACUAGAGGACAACAGUUGGAAAAGACUGCUAAUACUCUAUAGUGUAGGAUGAGGCGAUAUUGUAUCAGCUAGUUGGUGAGGUAAUGGCUCACACAGGCUAUGAGGAAUAACUGGUCUGAGAGGAUGAUCAGUCACACUUGAAGUGAGACACGGUCGAGACUCCUACGGGAGGCAGGAGUAGGGAAUAUUGCUCAAUGGGGGAAACCCUGAAGCAGCGACGCCGCGUGGAGGAUGACACUUUUCGGAGCGUAAACUCCUUCUAUUAGGGAAGCGGUACCUAACGAAUAAGCACCGGCUAACUACGUGCCAGCAGCCGCGGUAAUUC
rnacentral:rRNA from 1 species